CCCAUUCAUUCUGCUGGCAACAUCAGACCAACGAGAAAAAAAAUGACUGACGAGAUGUCGGCCAUUACAUUAAUAUAAAAUCGAUUACAUUGAAAGUUAGAAAGCCGUAAAUAUACUCUGAUAUUCAAGAAAAUAAGUAUUUACAGUUGUAUUCAGAUUUAAAAUGAACUCGAAAAGUAGAAGUAAUUAUAAUGAGGACCUCUUCGAGUAUAUUAAAGUCAGUGAAGAUGAAGAUGACGCUAAUGCUGUGGAAAUUCCUUGCGAACUUGAUGGCGCCUUACUUCUGUCAACGCUUGUAGCGCAGUUUCCUGGAGCAUGCGGCUUGAAGUACCGUCAUCCUGAAAGUAAAUCUGUCCGUGGAAUUCGUUUGAGUGAUGGCAAGCUUCACCCUCCGAAUGAUGCCGGCUGGGGUAAGCAUCUUUAUAUUUGCGUUUUCCCCAAAGAAAACAAACGUAAGAUGGAAGAUGUUUCUCCAGAGAACUCUGCGGCGAAAACAAAACGUCUUGAGAAAAAACUUACCUGUUCUGAUUUAAUUUGUCUUGGAUUACCAUGGAAAUCAACAGAAGAGUCCAUAAGGCAGUACUUUGAACAAUUUGGUGAAGUUGUUAUGGUUCAGCUUAAGAGGGAUAAAAAUGGUACCUUUAAGGGAUUUGGCUUCAUUCGCUUUGCAACAUAUGUAUCUCAAAUGAGAGCUUUGGCUCAACGGCACAAUAUAGAAGGGCGUUGGGUAGAUGUGCGAAUCCCUAACUCCAAAGAAGGAGUAGUUCCUCAAAUGCCGUGUAAAGUAUUUGUUGGUCGAUGUACUGAGGAUAUGACCGCAGAUGAUCUUCGGGAUUAUUUUUCCAAAUUUGGAGAGGUAACAGAUGUCUUCGUUCCAAGACCAUUCCGAGCAUUCGGAUUUGUUACAUUUUUGGACCCAGAAGUAGCUCAAAGCCUAUGUGGUGAAGACCAUGUUAUUAAAGGAGCAUCAGUGUCUGUUUCCAGUGCUGCACCAAAGAUUAAAGCCAAAUCUAACCAAAAUUGGAAGGAUGAUGGUUAUGGGCCAAAUAACUGGGAUGGAAACAGAUCAGGUCCUUCUGGGGGAUCAAAUAAUUCUGGUGGAAGUAGUAACAUAGACUCACUAAAUAUGCAAAACUUGGGCAUCAAUCCAAAUGGAGGCCCACCGGCCAACUUCAAUUUACCUAUAAGUGUUGUAGCAGCUGCAUUAAAUCAAGCAGGAUGGGGAGGAUUUCUAGGAGGACCUGGUAAUGGGGGUCCUAAUUGGCAAGGGGGUCCUCCUCAAAGCAAUUCGGGAAAAAAUUGGAACAGCAAUCAAAAUUGGGGUCAGAGUGGUCCUCCUCCAUCAUGGAACCAAGGAGGUGGCAACCAAGGUUGGAAUGGCAAUAAGAGUGGCAACUGGGGCCAAGGAAAUUGGUCGAAUGGCCAAGGAGGGUGGGGAGGUAAUGGCAACAACGGGUCAGGCCCUCCUGUGUCAAGCAGUGCAUGGAACAACAAGCCCCAGACAUGAGAUAUAACAUGUGAAAUUGGGAUUCAAAUAGUGAUGCCAGAAGAAACUCCACAGCCGCUCUUUACAUGCUCGGGGAAGAUGGGAGUUACAAGGCAUGGGUGUUGGCGUGACGAAUCAGUGGAAAACUGGAAGAAUUAAGACUCAAUAAGGCCUUUACUUUUUUUUGUCAAUGCAACUUAGUCCCUUAAUCUGAGGGUCGAGGGCACAUUAUGUGUCCUAGCAUUUGUUUGCAACUUUGCACCUACCAUCAUCAUCAUCGUACAGCGACGCGACGACGCGGGUUCGCUCGACACUACGUUGAUGCUUGUUGCACAGCAGACGCCUCUCUCUGUUUCACAACACGACCUACAUGGCGGCCACUGCCACACAUAACAGCGCCACUACACACAAUUGGGUGUGGGGUCGGCGGACCUCCUGCGUAUCUAUUCAUAAGAUGUAUUGUACUCAUAGUUAUUCAUAUUGCUGUGAUGGUACUAGACUCUUGAGUACCAGUAUAAUUUGGGUGCCAAGUUCUGUGCUGUGUAGAAAAUCCUGAAAUUAUAAAGCAGCAUCCUCGGCACAAUGCCAAAGGGGCCUUUUUAGGGUUCCGUAGCCAUAUGGCAAAAAGCGGAACUCUUAUAGAUUCGUCAUAUCCGUCUGUCUGUCCGAUUAUGUCACAGCCACUUUUUUUAUAUAGAUAUUUAUGUUUAUUUUUAUUAAGGUGCCAUUCGUGAGUAAAUAGUUAUAUAUGUAAAAAAUAGUACAAAAGAAAUUACAUUACCUAAAGGAUUUGUCUUAGCUAGUUUUUACGUAAAGGCUAUUUAUUAUAUUUGUCUAAAAUUUGGUUUGUUGGUAAAAACUAGCCAAGUCAAAUCCUUUAGGUAACGUCAUUUCAUUUGUAUAUUUUUUUUUACAUAUAUAACUAUUUCUUCACGAAUAGUAUAUUAAUAAAAAUAAACGAAAAUAUCUAUAUAAAAAACCGGCCAAGUGCAUGUCGGGCCAUGCUCAAUGUAGGGUUCCGUAGUUACCCUUCCGUCACAAUAAGGUAAACUAUAGUGGAGUAAGUUGUAGAGCUAGAGACGAAUGAUAAAGAAAAGCUUUAAAAUAAAACCGAAAUUUAUUAUAACCAAAAAACAGCGGAUAUGAUAACUGUUAAAUAGUACGUAUGUAAUUGGGUUCAUUGAAAAAUUAGCGGCCUGGCCAAUUAAAAAAAAAACUUUUUUCCUUUUUCUGCCGCCAUUUUGAACUGUUAUUAUUCAACUGUCUUCCCGCAAAAUUUCAAUUGGCGUCUAUAUUUAAAAACAAUUUUACGGCAUAUUUAAAGUUACGUGUCGGUAGAUAUCGUGAAAAUGGAGAAAUUAGGGCAGCGUGCUGUGAUUAAAUACCUCCAUAAAAAAAGGAUUGACACAGAAGCAAAUUUAUGAUGAUAUGCAAAGUACAUUAGGGCAAUCCUGUCCAUCAUAUACGAUGGUGAAAAAAUGGGCAGCUGAAUUCAAGCGUGGACGAGAUAGUAUCGCAGAUGACUCUCGUCCCGGGAGGCCAACAACGGUGACUAACACGGACAAUGUGGCAAUUAUAUAAUGAAAGACCGGCGAUUAAAGGUGCGGGAAAUAGCUGACAUCGUAGGCAUCUCUUAUGAAAGAACUCAAAAUAUUAUAGUCAACGAAUUAGGUUUUUCCAAGGUGUCGGCGAGAUGGGUCCCGAGGCUUCUUUCAGUGGAAAAAAAAUCGCUCGCCGUACUAAUUCACGUGAAUGUCUAGACCUGUAUGAAGCCGAUACUCAAGACUUUUUGGAAAGAUUUGUAACUAUGGACGAGACGUGGGUCCACCACUAUACACCAGAGACCAAACAUCAAUCGAAGCAGUGGGUUCGUCCUGGUUCUCCGCCUCCCAAAAAAGCCAAAGCAAUUUUGUCGGCCAAUAAAGUCAUGGCAUCUGUUUUCUGGGAUGCAAAGGGAAUAAUAAUGGUUGACUAUCUCCAGAGAGGUAAAACUAUAAAUUCCCACAAUUAUUGCGAGUUAUUACGCAGAUUACGCGAAGCUCUGAAGAUAAAAAGACCUGGAAUGUUGACAAAGAAAGUUAUCUUCCACCAGGACAAUGCACGUGUUCACACGUCACUAAAAUCGAUGGCGGAGAUUGCCAAAUGUGGGUUUGAAUUAUUGCCCCACCCACCCUAUUUACCCGAUUUAGCACCAUCGGACUUUCAUCUGUUCCCCAAUUAAAAAAAAAACAUAUGGGUGGUAUGAAAUUUUCAAGCAACGCCGAGGUCCAAGCUGAGGUGGAUGCCUAUUUUGAAGGUCUCGAGGAAAGCUUCUUCAAAAGUGGUGUAAUGGCUCUGGAAUCCAGAUGGAACAAGUGCAUUCAACUCGACGGGGACCAUGUAGAAAAAUAAAAAUAAAAAAAAACCUGUUUUGUUUUUAAUAUUCAGGCCGCGAAUUUUUCAAUCCACCCGUAUGUAGCUUCACUGGGUAAAAUUGUAUUGAUUCUCUAUGUAUUGUCUAACAUCCACACGUAAACUUACAAUUUAUGGCUUAAAAAUAAUAAUAACAAUUUUUAAGAAAAAAAACCGACUUCAUUGAGGGAGACCGGUGAAAGAACGAUUAUUGUCGAUUUGAGAUUUCAUACAAUGAAAUUAAAAAGACAGCGUCCUACGCCUAAUUAUGUAGAAAAGGUGCAGUGGCAAAAAAAAAACAUGUUACCUUGUUUUUUUUUGCCACUGCACCCACCUUGACACAUUUUAGAUUUGCCCUAUGGUUGACUGGUAAGAUACCUACCCGCAAUAGGGUAUUCGACUGUAUUUAAGAUAAAUUAUUUCAAACCAUGCAUGAAAUAAAGCACCAGAUAAUUAUUAAAAAAACUAAAUAGGAUAGAAAUAUAAAAAUGUGCCUUGAAAACCUAACUGCUUGGCAAAGAGAACAAAUUGCCAAACGUGAACUAUGCAUCAUUGAAGAGUUCCGUUCUGUUCAUCAUCAGCAAUUCCACUUCAUCAAAUGUCACUUCUACAAAUGUAAAUACUUGAUUUGUUAAUGAAAAUACUAAUCACUAUAUAUAUGCCUUUAACAUUUGAGGAGUUCCCUCGAGUCCUCAUGGACCCCAUCGUCAGAACUCGAACUUGACAAAAAUUUGUCUUGAAAAUUUAAUUUGCUUAACAAACACAGCGAAAAGGACAAAUCGCCAAACGUGUACUAUGCGUCGUUGAAGAGUACCAUUCUGAUCAUCAUCAGCAGUUCCACUUCAUCAAAUGUCACUUUUUAAAAUGUAAAUGCUUGAUUUGUUAAAGAAAAUACAAAAAUCACUAUAUGUAUGCCUUUCAUAUUUGAAGAAUUCACUCGAUUCCUUAUGGACCCCAUCGUCAGGACUCGAACCAGACAAAAAUUUGUCAUGAAAAUCUAAUUUACUUAACAAAUACAGCGAAGAGGAGAAAUCGCCAAACGUGUACUAUACGUCGUUGAAGAGUUCCAUUCUGAUCAUCAUCAGCAGUUUCACUUCAUCAAAUGUCACUUUUUAAAAUGUAAAUGCUUGAUUUGUCAUAGAAAAUACAAAAAUCACUAUA